CCUACGUGAGGCAGCAGUGGGGAAUAUUGGACAAUGGGCGAAAGCCUGAUCCAGCCAUGCCGCGUGUGUGAAGAAGGCCUUCGGGUUGUAAAGCACUUUCAGUGGGGAAGAACGCCUUGGGGCUAAUACCCUCGAGGAAGGACAUCACCCACAGAAGAAGCACCGGCUAACUCCGUGCCAGCAGCCGCGGUAAUACGGAGGGUGCGAGCGUUAAUCGGAAUUACUGGGCGUAAAGCGCGCGUAGGCGGUCUGAUAAGCCGGUUGUGAAAGCCCCGGGCUCAACCUGGGAACGGCAUCCGGAACUGUCAGGCUAGAGUGCAGGAGAGGAAGGUAGAAUUCCCGGUGUAGCGGUGAAAUGCGUAGAGAUCGGGAGGAAUACCAGUGGCGAAGGCGGCCUUCUGGACUGACACUGACGCUGAGGUGCGAAAGCGUGGGUAGCAAACAGGAUUAGAUACCCGUGUAGUC
rnacentral:rRNA from 1 species